rnacentral:rRNA from 1 species
AACGUAGGAGGCGAGCGUUAUCCGGAUUUACUGGGCGUAAAGCGCACGCAGGUGGCUUCGUAAGUCGGACAUGAAAGCUCCUGGCUUAACUGGGAGAGGUUGUUCGAUACUGCGGGGCUUGAGGUUGGGAGAGGGACGUGGAAUUCCCGGUGUAGUGGUGGAAUGCGUAGAUAUCGGGAGGAACACCAGUGGCGCAAGCGGCGUCCUGGCCCACACCUGACGCUGAGGUGCGAAAGCGUGGGGAGCAAACAGG